AGUGAACGCUGGCGGCAGGCCUAACACAUGCAAGUCGAACGGCAGCACAGAGGAGCUUGCUCCUUGGGUGGCGAGUGGCGGACGGGUGAGGAAUACAUGGGAAUCUGCCCAAUCGUGGGGGAUAACGUAGGGAAACUUACGCUAAUACCGCAUACGACCUACGGGUGAAAGCGGCGGACCGAAAGGCGUCGCGCGAGUGGAUGAGCCCAUGUCUGAUUAGCUAGGUGGCGGGGUAAAGGCCCACCAAGGCGACGAUCCGUAGCUGGUCUGAGAGGAUGAUCAGCCACACUGGAACUGAGACACGGUCCAGACUCCUACGGGAGGCAGCAGUGGGGAAUAUUGGACAAUGGGCGCAAGCCUGAUCCAGCCAUGCCGCGUGAGUGAAGAAGGCCCUCGGGUUGUAAAGCUCUUUUGUCCGGAAAGAAAAGCUUUCGGUUAAUACCCGGAAGUCCUGACGGUACCGGAAGAAUAAGCACCGGCCAACUUCGUGCCAGCCGCCGCGGUAAGAC
rnacentral:rRNA from 1 species